UCACCUCUCUCUUCUAUGACUUGCCUGUAAUAUAUUGCCUCUCAGUUUUGUCAAUUGGUUGUGCAGGUUAGUAUUGCUAAAUAGAUGAGUGAUUCAUUGGAAAAUAUAUUCAUGUUGUAUUAUUUGAAACUCAAGCAUCAGAUAAUUAUUCUCAGAUUUAGAUAUCUUGCUACAGUCAAUUUUGUACAGAUUCAACCUUUGUAUACAAAUAGCUUAGAUUGCAGUCACAAUGACAAGCUAGCCGGCUAUACCAACAAAGCCAAAGCAAAACAAAAAUUAAGGAAACCUUGUGAUAUGCAUAGAUCCGAGUUUCAGGGGAUCUAGGUUCUCUCUGGUGGAUAGGGGUUUUAUAUAUGUGAUCAUAUCCGCGGAGAUGGUGAAAUGGGUUGGCAGUGUUAUGAAGCUGGGAAGCUGUUGAAGAAGACCAACACUUUCACUGACUUAGUUGCUUGUGCUGAGCAGUAAAGAAACGUUUUGUAUCAGCGGGAGAAGUGCAUGUGGCAUGUUGAUGGGUAUUAUCCUAAAUAUGAGGCCUGACUUAUUCAAGCCAACUGUUGCUGAGGUGCCUUUAGUUGAUGUUCUCACAACUAUGCUUGAUCCAGCUAUCCCGUUGACUGCAGCUGAAUGGGAGAGUGAGCAACUCUUGUGGAGUGAGAGGAAAUGACAAGCCGUUUGUGCAAAAUAGGAGUUAAUCGAAGAGCUGGAGUCUAGAGGGAAAAAAGUUCAGAUUUUGCGACAGUAUUUCAGAGAAGCUGGUGUCGGUUAUCUUAGAUAGUCCCAACAAGGUUUCUCUAAAAGGAUAUUCACAAGAAGAGUGGACCAUAGAUGAGAGUGAUGAACCAUAGAUGAUGGAAAUACUUAAAUAUAGAUGGAGAUAAUGCUGAACUAAAAGCGCCUACGGGUUUGUUGGACAAUCGUCAUCGGCCAUGGUGGAGGGCUGGAGGAGGGAGGUGGAGCAGGAACGUCGGUCGCACUCCAUCCUACACGCCGAUGCCCCCUCCUGGUCUCGGAAAAAGAGGCCAAGUCAUGACAGGCAGCAGCGAGCAGGGCGUUCAACGCAGUUGUUGGGACAGGCUGCCGGAGUGGUGUUCUUGACCUCAUGUGCAGCUGGGAAAAGAUGUCCGCUUUGUUGUACUGCAAGCUGCUGAUGGCAGGCGAGUUUUAGCUAGCUUCUCGCGAGGAUUUCUGCUAGGUCAUGAAGCACAAAAAAGGCCUGAGUAAAAAUAACAUGUGCCGUUUGCGGCCGGUCAAGAGCUUGGCCAGUAUGGGCAGCAAUAAAAAUUUCGAGCAAUUAAUCGUGAGGCUUUGGUGUACAGGAUCAUUGAGAAGGUUUAGAGUAUCCUUGAUGCUCUAUUUGGGUAGGGAAGACCAAAAAGUGUUGCCUACCAAUGGAAGAUUGUGUGUGCUCAAAACUUGCUCCGUGCAAUUUGUAUGGCGGCAUAAAAUUUUGGCUGUACAUGCAUCCAAAGAUCUGUCUUAAGAUUUCUGUUGUACUCGCCGCCAGGACCGUUGCCAGCACUCAGCAAGAUCUCGGCUUUGUACAUCCUUCUGAUUGAAUGAUUCCCAGUGAUUGAUCAUGCUCAGAGUCCAGAAUCCAAACAUGCUGAGUUAGUCCAGAAAAAUAGGCAAGCCACCAAUCUGAACUAAAUUUUGACUAGGAUCAUUCUUAUGCUGCUAUUUAAUUUAUCUUUGUACAAAACACAUCCAUGUGUUAAGUCAAUGUGCGCAUGAUUCUUAGACCGUUAAUAGCGCGUAAACAUUUGGAUCGCGGGUUACAUUGCUACAUGCUGGCCAAUUAUUUGUAACUUUUCUUAUGUACUUUGUUGAAUAAAUUGGAAAGAGAAGUAUUUUGUUAGUAAA